GGUCCAGAUGGCCUUCAUCACCUCAUACUUAUAGUCACCAUCAUCUUAAUAUUAAUGUCACAUAAAAAAAAUGAUAAAAUAGAUAGAUAGAUAGAGAUCGCUCACGACAACUCACGAGUUCCCCAAAAGAAACUAUUGUUAAAGGUGCUAAGCUAUGGUUACUGAAAACUUAUUUUCCCUCAAGUUUUGUCAUUUUUGGAACACUUAAUUCCCUAGUUACCUGGCUCAUCAUUUUCUCAAAGUUUUCCAUUUUAUUUAUUUUUAUAAAUAUAUAUAGAGAGAAAGAGUAUGUGUGUGUGCUUUUGUAGGGCAUCAAAAACGAGGGAAAAAGGGUGGAAAAGAAAGAAAAAAGAGUGUGUGUGAUGGAGUGAGGUGAAGGGUGUUUCAUCAUAAACGAGGAGAAAGGGGCAGAAUAACUAUGAUGAUCCUUUCUUUGAUCCUUCCAAAUAUGCUCCCUAUGAGAGAAUGAACCAUCCAAUCUCAUUAAUUAUUAAUAAUAUUAUUAUUCAUUCUCUCUCCUUACCAAAUAAUAUCAAUUAUUUACCCAUCUCUCUCUCUCUCUAAACCCUUCAAAUUAAGUCUCUCUCUCAUUUAUUCCUUCCACACAUCACCACCUCUUAAAUAGAACCCAUCUGCCCUUUUCUCUCAACUCUUCCAUAACUCAUGUACAUAGGAUGCUACCUCUGAUAUUAUGGUUUUGGUUUCAUAUGGGUUUAAGAAGGAGUUUCUCACAGAUUUUAUUGGCAUUCUGUCCACCUCCUUUCCUAAUUUCUUUCAUUUUCUUUUCUGUAUAUAACAUAUAUACAUAUUGCUAUUACUAUAUGAUCUAUGGAGGAGGUGGGCAUACUGCCAACUGAGUUCUGUUGGUUUCUCUUUGUAAAACCCUCGUGAUGAUAAUAUAUACAUAUAAUAUAUAUGUAGACCAGUGAAACUUCUUCUUGUUCCUUUUAUUAAAUUAUCUAAUAUAUAUAUAUGCUAUUAAUAUUAUUAUUUCUUAUUUGAUCUAUGAUAAUUUUAAUGAAUUUGAAAGUUUUAUCUGCUUUUCAUUCCUUGAAAGUUUUUAUUUUUGGCAGGUGUAACCACCUAAAUCAUCUUUCAUCACACACUAUACAUGGUUUCAAAUUGCCAAAAACUUUUCGACAUGAAGUUCUUUCACAUCUACUAGGUCUCAGCGAGGAUGAAGAAGCUAUUGAUAAGGUAUAUAUAUUUAUAUAAAAUAUAUAUUAUUUUUGGUUUUAUUAUUAAUAUCUAAUAUGCAACCUAUCUUAUUAUGAGUUAUGACACAAAAUGAUAAAUGACUGGCUUGUUGGCUCAAUUUAAGACCUUGAAUUUGAACUUGAUUUCCCUUUAAAAAUACGCCCUUUUUAUAAAAAAGAUUCUUUUUUUCUUUCUUACACUAAUAAGAACCAACCAGGUUAUACAAAAUUUUAGUAUAUUCAUGCAUGCCUGCCAUUUUUAUGGUUCACAUUUUGUCAGCUCUUGAUCGUAAUUUUUAUAUAUAUAUAUUAUAAUUACUUUUGCUUAAGUAAUAAAACCUCUAAUUAAUUAUCAUCAUUAUUAGCUUCUUGUUUGUGUGCUUAAUUCUCUCUCUAAUUUAAGUUUAUGGCAGCUCAGCAGGCUCUAUCUACUCCAGAAUUUAGAAUAAUACGUUUCUGUACUACUAGUCUACUACUACUACUACUCUCCUCAAACCCAUAUAUAUACGUAGGCUCAUGAUUGACUGACACUGCCAAUAAAUAAAUAAUUUUAAUAAUUCCACAUUUUGUUAAUUUAUUUUUAUUAACCACACGCUUUUUGUAGCGCGUGCGUGCUUUUGAUUAAUUUGUGUUAUUACAAUUAAUCAAAUCCCAUCAUUAUUAUUUACUUAAUAAUUUUAUUUUGCAAGUUAAAUGAAUAUCAACAUUAAGAAAUGUUAAAAUAUAGUAAAUACAUCUUAAAAAAAAGUGUACUGGUUUCAAAUAACUUUCCCAUAUGCCCAUGUUAUUUCUAAUCUCUAUUGAAAGAUAUGUUGUAUAUAUAUUUGAAAUGAGUGUUGGGUGAGACUGGUGAGAGUAGUUUUUUUGUUAAAUGAAUAUAAAUAUUAUAUGGAAGUCUAUUACAGUAAGCCUCAGAUAAUUUUUUUUUCAAGGAUUGAGCCUCUUUAUUAUUAUUAUUAUUAGUUUACUUUUUUAAUUUUUUUUUACUAUCUUCAGUCAAAAUGUACAUUAUCAGAUGUAAAUAAAACAAUAUUUUUUAGGUGUAC